rnacentral:rRNA from 1 species
UACGUAGGGUCCGAGCGUUGUCCGGAAUUACUGGGCGUAAAGAGCUCGUAGGUGGUUUGUCGCGUUGUUCGUGAAAACUCACAGCUCAACUGUGGGCGUGCGGGCGAUACGGGCAGACUGGAGUUCGGCAGGGGAGACUGGAAUUCCUGGUGUAGCGGUGAAAUGCGCAGAUAUCAGGAGGAACACCGGUGGCGAAGGCGGGUCUCUGGGCCGGUACUGACGCUGAGACGCGAAAGCGUGGGGAGCGAACAGG